CAGCAGCCGCGGUAAUACGAAGGGGGCUAGCGUUGCUCGGAAUGACUGGGCGUAAAGGGCGCGUAGGCGGAUUGUUUAGUUAGGCGUGAAAUUCCUGGGCUUAACCUGGGGACUGCGCUUAAUACAGGCAGUCUAGAGUGAGGAAGAGGGUUGUGGAAUUCCCAGUGUAGAGGUGAGAUUCGUAGAUAUUGGGAAGAACACCGGUGGCGAAGGCGGCAACCUGGUCCUUGACUGACGCUGAGGCGCGAAAGCGUGGGGAGCAAACAGGAUUAGAUACCCCCGUAGUCCCUGUCUCUUAUAC
rnacentral:rRNA from 1 species